rnacentral:rRNA from 1 species
UUUCGAAUCAUCCACAAUGGGCGAAAGCCUGAUGGUGCGACGCCGCGUGAGGGAUGAAGGUCCUCGGAUUGUAAACCUCUGUCACCAGGGAGCAAAAACUAGACUCAUACUCUAGCUUGAGUUAACCUGGAGAGGAAGUAGUGGCAAACUCCGUGCCAGCAGCCGCGGUAAUACGGAGACUACGAGCGUUACUCGGAUUUACUGGGCGUAAAGGGCGCGUAGGCGGCGUGGUAAGUCAUCUGUGAAAUCUCCGAGCUUAACUCGGAACGGUCAGAUGAUACUGCUGUGCUAGAGUACAGAAGGGGCAAUCGGAAUUCUUGGUGUAGCGGUGAAAUGCGUAGAUAUCAAGAGGAACACCUGAGGUGAAGACGGGUUGCUGGGCUGAUACUGACGCUGAGGCGCGAAAGCUAGGGUAGCAAACGGGAUUAGAUACCCCCGUAGUCCCUGAGCGGGCUGGCAAGGCGCAU